rnacentral:rRNA from 1 species
AGGAUAAACGCUGGCGGCGUGCAUGAGACAUGCAAGUCGAACGGACGAUCAGGGCUUGCUCUGAUCGUUAGUGGCGGACGGCUGAGUAACGCGUAGGUGACCUGCCCCGAAGUGGGGAAUAACUGCCCGAAAGGGUGGCUAAUACCGCAUGUGGUGGUGUGUUCAUUCACACCAGUAAAGCCGCAAGGCGCUUCGGGAGGGGCCUGCGUCCGAUUAGCUCGUUGGUGGGUAACGGCUCACCAAGGCGACGAUCGGUAGGUGGUCUGAGAGGACGAUCACCCAGACUGGGACUGAGACACGGCCCAGACUCCUACGGGAGGCAGCAGUCGGGAAUUUUGCGCAAUGGACGAAAGUCUGACGCAGCAACGCCGCGUGAGGGAUGAAGGCCUUCGGUUGUAACCUCUUUAUCAGGAAGAUAAUGACGGUACCUGAUGAAUAAGUCACGGCUAACUACGUGCCAGCAGCCGC